rnacentral:rRNA from 1 species
GACGAACGCUGGCGGCGUGCCUAAUACAUGCAAGUCGAACGAAGCUGUUUUAACUGGUGCUUGCACCGACUUAAACAACUGAGUGGCGAACGGGUGAGUAACACGUGGGUAACCUGCCCCAAAGCGGGGGAUAACAUUUGGAAACAGAUGCUAAUACCGCAUAACCACAGAAACCACAUGGUUUCUGUGUCAAAGAUGGUUUCGGCUAUCACUUUGGGAUGGACCCGCGGCGUAUUAGCUAGUUGGUAAGGUAAUGGCUUACCAAGGCAAUGAUACGUAGCCGAACUGAGAGGUUGAUCGGCCACAGUGGGACUGAGACACGGGCCAAACUCCUACGGGAGGCAGCAGUAGGGAAUCUUCCACAAUGGACGAAAGUCUGAUGGAGCAACGCCGCAUGAGUGAAGAAGGUUUUCGGAUCGUAAAACUCUGUUGUCAGAGAAGAACGUGUGCGAGAGUAACUGCUCGUGCAGUGACGGUAUCUGGCCAGAAAGCCACGGCUAACUACGUGCCAGCAGCCGCCGUAA